rnacentral:lncRNA from 1 species
CUCCCUGAACAAGGGCUGUAGUCUGAGGCCGAGUUAUUGCGUUAUUAUUGCUGCUACAAUUGCUACUUUUAUUUUUCUAUUAGUGUUAUUAUUUCUGCUAUACCCACCUGGCUUUCAGCAAGGAAAUCUCUGACAGUGCUGGGGUUUUUUUUUUGUUUUUUCAAAAACUCAUAUAUAAGGGUACUUUUACCUCUGGAAGCAGCCAAUAGUUUGGGUGCAGCUCAGUGAAAUUUGCAGAUGAAGAAAAUUCAUCUCAGAUGAAGAAAACUCAUGGAAUUUUCUCCCCCACCAUGGCUUUUCUCCAACAGAAAGGCAAGAUUUCUUGUAAUGGAGAGGAUUUGGCUGAAGCUGAAGACUGAGCCAAACAGGCUGUGAGACACUGCAGAGAGAUCAAAGGGAGUUAAAGGUCCUUAAGAAAAGAAAAAUUGAAUCUCUGCCUCACCAUCCAGACCCAGGUGUGUUGGCCAAAGACGAGCAUCAACACCCUGUUCUCAAGCCUGCUCUGGGGCACAGACACAAGAAAUGGUGAAAGCUCCAGUGCAGGGAGG